rnacentral:rRNA from 1 species
CCUACGGGUGGCAGCAGUGAGGAAUAUUGGUCAAUGGGCGCGAGCCUGAACCAGCCAAGUAGCGUGAAGGAUGACUGCCCUACGGGUUGUAAACUUCUUUUAUAAAGGAAUAAAGUGAGGCACGUGUGCCUUUUUGUAUGUACUUUAUGAAUAAGGAUCGGCUAACUCCGUGCCAGCAGCCGCGGUAAUACGGAGGAUCCGAGCGUUAUCCGGAUUUAUUGGGUUUAAAGGGAGCGUAGAUGGGUUUUUAAGUCAGUUGUGAAAGUUUGCGGCUCAACCGUAAAAUUACAACUGAUACUGGUAGCCUAGAGUACAGUUGAGUUAGGCGGAAUUCGUGGUGGAGCGGUG